rnacentral:rRNA from 1 species
CCUACGGGUGGCUGCAGUGAGGAAUAUUGGUCAAUGGUCGGGAGACUGAACCAGCCAAGCCGCGUGAGGGAGGAAGGUACAGAGUAUCGUAAACCUCUUUUGUCGGGGAACAAAAGCUUGGACGUGUCGGAUGAGUGUACCCGAAGAAAAAGCAUCGGCUAACUCCGUGCCAGCAGCCGCGGUAAUACGGAGGAUGCGAGCGUUAUCCGGAUUUAUUGGGUUUAAAGGGUGCGUAGGCGGUCUGUUAAGUCAGCGGUCAAAGCCCGGGGCACAACCCCGGCCCGCCGUUGAAACUGGCAGUCUCGAGUUGGAGAGAAGUAUGCGGAAUGCGCGGUGUAGCGGUGAAAUGCAUAGAUAUCGCGCAGAACUCCGAUUGCGAAGGCAGCAUGCCGGCUCCACACUGACGCUGAGGCACGAAAGCGUGGGUAUCGAACAGGAUUAGAUACCCUAGUAGUCC